GGAACGAACCUGGCGGUGAGGGACGAAAGCCCGGGGCGCGAACCGAGAUUAGAUACCCGGGUAGUCCUGGCCGUAAACGAUGUGUGACUUGGUGUUGGGAUGGCUUGCGAGCUGCCCCAGUGCCGAAGGGAAGCUGUUAAGUCCACCGCCUGGGAAGUACGGCCGCAAGGUUGAAACUUAAAGGAAUUGGCGGGGGAGCA
rnacentral:rRNA from 1 species